CGCUGAACAAGGAUCACUUUUAAUGGGCUGAAUACAUACAACACACAGCUGACAACAAAGAUGUUCGACUAACCUAACACGAGAGGGAAACAGCAACAGCACACAGGCCACUGGGAUUGCUCAGUUCGGUCCCCAGACAGAGGGAUGGGAGCAGCACCCGAGGGGCAUCUCUGGAAGAUGGAAUUAAGCCUCGGCGUGUUUGGUUUGGCCUCCUGUGUCAGCGACAUGAAAGCCUUGGCUAUAAAUACACCCCGUGUCUCCGAAGGCUUCGUGGCGUUUUCCUGCCCGUGCUCUUGGUCCCUUUGGGAAGCCGGGAGCUGGGAGGAGCACAUCAGCCGGCUCCGGCUCCAGCGAUGCCGGCGGAGCGGUUCCCAGCCUGGGACA